UACGGAGGGAGCUAGCGUUGUUCGGAAUUACUGGGCGUAAAGCGCACGUAGGCGGCUUUGUAAGUUAGAGGUGAAAGCCCGGAGCUCAACUCCGGAAUUGCCUUUAAGACUGCAUCGCUUGAAUCCGGGAGAGGUGAGUGGAAUUCCGAGUGUAGAGGUGAAAUUCGUAGAUAUUCGGAAGAACACCAGUGGCGAAGGCGGCUCACUGGACCGGUAUUGACGCUGAGGAGCGAAAGCGUGGGGAGCGAACAGG
rnacentral:rRNA from 1 species